CCUACGGGAGGCAGCAGUGGGGAAUUUUGGACAAUGGGCGCAAGCCUGAUCCAGCAAUGCCGCGUGAGUGAAGAAGGCCUUCGGGUUGUAAAGCUCUUUUGUCAGGGAAGAAACGGUGAGGGCUAAUAUCCCUUGCUAAUGACGGUACCUGAAGAAUAAGCACCGGCUAACUACGUGCCAGCAGCCGCGGUAAUACGUAGGGUGCAAGCGUUAAUCGGAAUUACUGGGCGUAAAGCGUGCGCAGGCGGUUUUGUAAGUCUGUCGUGAAAUCCCCGGGCUCAACCUGGGAAUUGCGAUGGAGACUGCAAGGCUAGAAUCUGGCAGAGGGAGGUAGAAUUCCACGUGUAGCAGUGAAAUGCGUAGAGAUGUGGAGGAACACCGAUGGCGAAGGCAGCCCCCUGGGUCAAGAUUGACGCUCAUGCACGAAAGCGUGGGGAGCAAACAGGAUUAGAUACCCUGGUAGUCCACGCCCUAAACCGAUGUCUACUAGUUGUCGGGUUUUAAUUAACUUGGUAACGUCAGCUAACGCGUGAGUAGACCGCCGUGGGGNGGUACGGUCGGUCGAGAGUUAAACGUUAACGUAAGAAGUUAGUAGCGNGNGAGAGCGACGACGACGACGAGGAGGAGG
rnacentral:rRNA from 1 species